GCCGUGGGGUACCGCUGCACCGUGGCUCUCACGGAGUUGCCGUAGUACGGCGGGACGGGGUUGCCUUGUCCGUCGAUAUUAAAAAGUACAUCCACCUCCUCGGCGAGAGGAUACUGCGUGGGGUCCAUGGAAGGCAUUCUUUCUGAAAGGAGCAGGAUGGCGCCAGCCGGCUCAGUGCUUACAGACAGCUGUGGCGAGACGCAACUUAAGGAGGUUCCAGUGUCAUAAGCCCGGGGGAGGCGGAGCCUGAGGAGGGGACCGGCCCCGGCCGCCCCCGCGCUGCCCCCGCGGGAACCCCCCGGCACCAAACUCCUCUCCAUGUCCCCUCCACACACAUUCCUUGUUUUAAAUUUUUUUCUUUUUCAUUUUCUAUUUUUUUUUGUUUUUGUUUUUAAGGGGGAAAUUAAGUUUUCCCGCUGUCCCAGGAGCUCUGAGAGCGGCCAGCCCGGGGAGACGGUGAGCUGAGAUUCCCAGCCCCGCUCCCUCCGGCGCUUACAGCCCUGAGACCUACAGCCGUGGGAUCGCAGGAGGGGAAUUUCCAUCCAAAGGUCACAAAAUUGCUAAACCACUUUAAAACGUGCCUCCAGCCCUGUCCGGAGGUGGUGAGGAAAUCGCUUUCCUUCAGCUGUUUGGAGGGCAGGGACUUGUUAAUGCAAAAUGAAAUGAAUGAAGUAAAAAGAAAAAAAGUAAAAUAAAAUAAAAUAAUAAAUCAGCGGCUACACCAAGUCUCAUCAGUGGCAGGAGGGAGAAGAAAUGGGGACAGCCCUGAGGGCUCCGUCCUGCCCCGGCUGCGAGAGGAGGACACCCGCUCUCAAAUCCGCUUUGCUUAGGCUCUCCCUUUAUUUUAUUUCCAACCCGUCCUCGACAGAUUCGACCUCCCUACCCCCAUCCCAGCCGGGAGGAAGCCGUGGUGGGGAGUGCAAAAACACCCCCUACAAAAAAAAAAAAAAAUUAAAAAAAGGAAUAUUAAAAAAAAAUAAAAAGAGCAAACCCAUAAUUUUUCAUCAUUUUUCCCCGUUUCCUCGGAUUACCCCGUGAUCCCCGGGGGUUUUGAGAGGAGCGCUGGCCUUGACCGUCCUUUUCCCAGGCUGUGGCUGCAGAUCCAUCACGCCGCCCCCCCGGC